UACAGAGACUGCAAGCGUUAUUCGGAUUCACUGGGCGUAAAGGGUGCGCAGGCGGCCGUGUGUGUGAGGCGUGAAAGCUUGGAGCUUAACUCCAGAAUUGCACCUCAAACUACAUGGCUAGAGCAUUGGAGAGGGUAGCAGAAUUCAUGGUGUAGCAGUGAAAUGCGUAGAUAUCAUGAGGAAUACCAGAGGCGAAGGCGGCUACCUGGACAAUUGCUGACGCUCAGGCACGAAAGCGUGGGGAGCAAAAGGG
rnacentral:rRNA from 1 species